AUUGAACGCUGGCGGCAGGCCUAACACAUGCAAGUCGAGCGGUAGAGAGAAGCUUGCUUCUCUUGAGAGCGGCGGACGGGUGAGUAAUGCCUAGGAAUCUGCCUGGUAGUGGGGGAUAACGUUCGGAAACGGACGCUAAUACCGCAUACGUCCUACGGGAGAAAGCAGGGGACCUUCGGGCCUUGCGCUAUCAGAUGAGCCUAGGUCGGAUUAGCUAGUUGGUGGGGUAAUGGCUCACCAAGGCGACGAUCCGUAACUGGUCUGAGAGGAUGAUCAGUCACACUGGAACUGAGACACGGUCCAGACUCCUACGGGAGGCAGCAGUGGGGAAUAUUGGACAAUGGGCGAAAGCCUGAUCCAGCCAUGCCGCGUGUGUGAAGAAGGUCUUCGGAUUGUAAAGCACUUUAAGUUGGGAGGAAGGGCAGUAAAUUAAUACUUUGCUGUUUUGACGUUACCGAAAGAAUAAGCACCGGCUAACUUCGUGCCAGCCGCCGCCGUAA
rnacentral:rRNA from 1 species